rnacentral:rRNA from 1 species
CGAAUCGCAUGGCCAUGCGCCGGCGAUGGUUCAUUCAAAUUUCUGCCCUAUCAACUUUCGAUGGUAGGAUAGUGGCCUACCAUGGUUUCUACGGGUAACGGGGAAUUAGGGUUCUAUUCCGGAGAGGGAGCCUGAGAAACGGCUACCACAUCCAAGGAAGGCAGCAGGCGCGCAAAUUACCCAAUCCCGACACGGGGAGGUAGUGACAAUAAAUACUGAUGGAGAGCUCUUUUGGGUUUUCUAGUUGGAAUGAGUACAAUUUAAAUUUCUUAACGAGGAACAAUUGGAGGGCAAGUCUGGUGCCAGCAGCCGCGGUAAUUCCAGCUCCAAUAGCGUAUAUUAAAGUUGUUGCAGUUAAAAAGCUCGUAGUUGAAACUCAGGCCUGGCUGGCCGGUCCGCCUCACCGCGAGCACUGGUUCGGCCGGGCUUUUUCCUUCUGGGGAGCCGCAUGCCCUUCACUGGGUGCGUUGGGGAACCAGGACUUUUACUUUGAAAAAAUUAGAGUGUUCAAAGCAGGCAUAUGCUCGGAUACAUUAGCAUGGAAUAAUAGAAUAGGACGUGUGGUUCUAUUUUGUUGGUUUCUAGGACCGCCGUAAUGAUUAAUAGGGAUAGUCGGGGGCAUCAGUAUUCAAUUGUCAGAGGUGAAAUUCUUGG